AACCGCCGUAUACGGAACCGUACGUACGGUGGUGUGAGAGGUCGGAGGUUAGUCGCCUCCUCCUACUCGAU
rfam:Bacilli bacterium VT-13-104 contig028, whole genome shotgun sequence.